rnacentral:tRNA from 1 species
GGAGAGGUGCCGGAGUGGUCGAACGGGGCGGUCUCGAAAACCGUUGUACCCCUCGCGGGUACCGUGGGUUCGAAUCCCACCCUCUCCGCCA